CCGAUGGAGGGGGAUAACUACUGGAAACGGUAGCUAAUACCGCAUAACGUCGCAAGACCAAAGAGGGGGACCUUCGGGCCUCUUGCCAUCGGAUGUGCCCAGAUGGGAUUAGCUAGUAGGUGGGGUAACGGCUCACCUAGGCGACGAUCCUUAGCUGGUCUGAGAGGAUGACCAGCCACACUGGAACUGAGACACGGUCCAG
rnacentral:rRNA from 1 species